rnacentral:tRNA from 1 species
AGUGGUUUAGGAGUUUGACUGCUAACCAAAAGGUUGGUAGUUCAAAUCUACCAGGCGCUC